rnacentral:snRNA from 1 species
GUGAGCACGCAGUGGCAAUAUCAUAGCCAAUGAGGUCAAACCGAGGCAUGAUUAUUGCUAAUUGUGAUGAAGCUGAAGCUUGAUGAAAGCGGAGGGGCUGUGUUCCCAUUAGGGAAGAGCUGCUGACUUAUUUUUUGUCGGGGGCUUCGCACAUGCUC